AGGAGUUUCGGGAACAUAUGCUGAUAUAUGCUGCAAUAGAACACUUAAGCCAGGAGAUAUAAACGACAUUUUGAGAAUGGAAGGACUUACAUAGUUGGUGAGCUGGCCAGACAGAGGUAUUGCCAGCGUUAAGCCAGGAAAGAAAGUAGCUGGAACCUGAGAACUAGCAGAGCAGAACACUGUGUGUAUUGUCAAUUGAACAGGACCUGAACAGAAUCUUUCACUUGGAUGAAUAUUGCUCAACAUCUGAAAUAAUUUGAAGUUUCACCUGUGCAAGGAUUGUCACUAAUCUUCACCAAGAAAGCACAUAAAACUGCGUGUGGAAAGGAUCCCCUUCUUCACAGAAAGCUUGUAACAGCUGGUUACCUUCUGAGCCCAAAGCAAG